GACGAACGCUGGCGGCGUGCUUAACACAUGCAAGUCGAACGGAAAGGCCCUGCUUUUGUGGGGUGCUCGAGUGGCGAACGGGUGAGUAACACGUGAGUAACCUGCCCUUGACUUUGGGAUAACUUCAGGAAACUGGGGCUAAUACCGGAUAGGAGCUCCUGCUGCAUGGUGGGGGUUGGAAAGUUUCGGCGGUUGGGGAUGGACUCGCGGCUUAUCAGCUUGUUGGUGGGGUAGUGGCUUACCAAGGCUUUGACGGGUAGCCGGCCUGAGAGGGUGACCGGCCACAUUGGGCCUGCGAUACGGCCCAGACUCCUACGGGAGGCAGCAGUGGGGAAUAUUGCACAAUGGGCGGAAGCCUGAGGCAGCAACGCCGCGUGCGGGAUGACGGCCUUCGGGUUGUAAACCGCUUUCGCCUGUGACGAAGCGUGAGUGACGGUAAUGGGUAAAGAAGCACCGGCUAACUACGUG
rnacentral:rRNA from 1 species